AAACCCUACUAACUAUUCUAG
rnacentral:snRNA from 1 species